rnacentral:rRNA from 1 species
GGGUUGUGAGGUUAAGCGACUAAGCGUACACGGUGGAUGCCCUGGCAGUCAGAGGCGAUGAAGGACGUGCUAAUCUGCGAUAAGCGUCGGUAAGGUGAUAUGAACCGUUAUAACCGGCGAUUUCCGAAUGGGGAAACCCAGUGUGUUUCGACACACUAUCAUUAACUGAAUCCAUAGGUUAAUGAGGCGAACCGGGGGAACUGAAACAUCUAAGUACCCCGAGGAAAAGAAAUCAACCGAGAUUCCCCCAGUAGCGGCGAGCGAACGGGGAGCAGCCCAGAGCCUGAAUCAGUGUGUGUGUUAGUGGAAGCGUCUGGAAAGGCGCGCGAUACAGGGUGACAGCCCCGUACACAAAAAUGCACAUGCUGUGAGCUCGAUGAGUAGGGCGGGACACGUGGUAUCCUGUCUGAAUAUGGGGGGACCAUCCUCCAAGGCUAAAUACUCCUGACUGACCGAUAGUGAACCAGUACCGUGAGGGAAAGGCGAAAAGAACCCCGGCGAGGGGAGUGAAAAAGAACCUGAAACCGUGUACGUACAAGCAGUGGGAGCACGCUUAGGCGUGUGACUGCGUACCUUUUGUAUAAUGGGUCAGCGACUUAUAUUCUGUAGCAAGGUUAACCGAAUAGGGGAGCCGAAGGGAAACCGAGUCUUAACUGGGCGUUAAGUUGCAGGGUAUAGACCCGAAACCCGGUGAUCUAGCCAUGGGCAGGUUGAAGGUUGGGUAACACUAACUGGAGGACCGAACCGACUAAUGUUGAAAAAUUAGCGGAUGACUUGUGGCUGGGGGUGAAAGGCCAAUCAAACCGGGAGAUAGCUGGUUCUCCCCGAAAGCUAUUUAGGUAGCGCCUCGUGAAUUCAUCUCCGGGGGUAGAGCACUGUUUCGGCAAGGGGGUCAUCCCGACUUACCAACCCGAUGCAAACUGCGAAUACCGGAGAAUGUUAUCACGGGAGACACACGGCGGGUGCUAACGUCCGUCGUGAAGAGGGAAACAACCCAGACCGCCAGCUAAGGUCCCAAAGUCAUGGUUAAGUGGGAAACGAUGUGGGAAGGCCCAGACAGCCAGGAUGUUGGCUUAGAAGCAGCCAUCAUUUAAAGAAAGCGUAAUAGCUCACUGGUCGAGUCGGCCUGCGCGGAAGAUGUAACGGGGCUAAACCAUGCACCGAAGCUGCGGCAGCGACGCUUAUGCGUUGUUGGGUAGGGGAGCGUUCUGUAAGCCUGUGAAGGUGUGCUGUGAGGCAUGCUGGAGGUAUCAGAAGUGCGAAUGCUGACAUAAGUAACGAUAAAGCGGGUGAAAAGCCCGCUCGCCGGAAGACCAAGGGUUCCUGUCCAACGUUAAUCGGGGCAGGGUGAGUCGACCCCUAAGGCGAGGCCGAAAGGCGUAGUCGAUGGGAAACAGGUUAAUAUUCCUGUACUUGGUGUUACUGCGAAGGGGGGACGGAGAAGGCUAUGUUGGCCGGGCGACGGUUGUCCCGGUUUAAGCGUGUAGGCUGGUUUUCCAGGCAAAUCCGGAAAAUCAAGGCUGAGGCGUGAUGACGAGGCACUACGGUGCUGAAGCAACAAAUGCCCUGCUUCCAGGAAAAGCCUCUAAGCAUCAGGUAACAUCAAAUCGUACCCCAAACCGACACAGGUGGUCAGGUAGAGAAUACCAAGGCGCUUGAGAGAACUCGGGUGAAGGAACUAGGCAAAAUGGUGCCGUAACUUCGGGAGAAGGCACGCUGAUAUGUAGGUGAAGUCCCUCGCGGAUGGAGCUGAAAUCAGUCGAAGAUACCAGCUGGCUGCAACUGUUUAUUAAAAACACAGCACUGUGCAAACACGAAAGUGGACGUAUACGGUGUGACGCCUGCCCGGUGCCGGAAGGUUAAUUGAUGGGGUCAGCGCAAGCGAAGCUCUUGAUCGAAGCCCCGGUAAACGGCGGCCGUAACUAUAACGGUCCUAAGGUAGCGAAAUUCCUUGUCGGGUAAGUUCCGACCUGCACGAAUGGCGUAAUGAUGGCCAGGCUGUCUCCACCCGAGACUCAGUGAAAUUGAACUCGCUGUGAAGAUGCAGUGUACCCGCGGCAAGACGGAAAGACCCCGUGAACCUUUACUAUAGCUUGACACUGAACAUUGAGCCUUGAUGUGUAGGAUAGGUGGGAGGCUUAGAAGUGUGGACGCCAGUCUGCAUGGAGCCGACCUUGAAAUACCACCCUUUAAUGUUUGAUGUUCUAACGUUGACCCGUAAUCCGGGUUGCGGACAGUGUCUGGUGGGUAGUUUGACUGGGGCGGUCUCCUCCUAAAGAGUAACGGAGGAGCACGAAGGUUGGCUAAUCCUGGUCGGACAUCAGGAGGUUAGUGCAAUGGCAUAAGCCAGCUUGACUGCGAGCGUGACGGCGCGAGCAGGUGCGAAAGCAGGUCAUAGUGAUCCGGUGGUUCUGAAUGGAAGGGCCAUCGCUCAACGGAUAAAAGGUACUCCGGGGAUAACAGGCUGAUACCGCCCAAGAGUUCAUAUCGACGGCGGUGUUUGGCACCUCGAUGUCGGCUCAUCACAUCCUGGGGCUGAAGUAGGUCCCAAGGGUAUGGCUGUUCGCCAUUUAAAGUGGUACGCGAGCUGGGUUUAGAACGUCGUGAGACAGUUCGGUCCCUAUCUGCCGUGGGCGCUGGAGAACUGAGGGGGGCUGCUCCUAGUACGAGAGGACCGGAGUGGACGCAUCACUGGUGUUCGGGUUGUCAUGCCAAUGGCACUGCCCGGUAGCUAAAUGCGGAAGAGAUAAGUGCUGAAAGCAUCUAAGCACGAAACUUGCCCCGAGAUGAGUUCUCCCUGACCCUUUAAGGGUCCUGAAGGAACGUUGAAGACGACGACGUUGAUAGGCCGGGUGUGUAAGCGCAGCGAUGCGUUGAGCUAACCGGUACUAAUGAACCGUGAG